rnacentral:rRNA from 1 species
GGCCAGACUCCUACGGGAGGCAGCAGUGGGGAAUAUUGCACAAUGGGGGAAACCCUGAUGCAGCGACGCCGCGUGAGUGAAGAAGUAUUUCGGUAUGUAAAGCUCUAUCAGCAGGGAAGAAAAUGACGGUACCUGAUUAAGAAGCCCCGGCUAACUACGUGCCAGCAGCCGCGGUAAUACGUAGGGGGCAAGCGUUAUCCGGAUUUACUGGGUGUAAAGGGAGCGUAGACGGCAAUACAGGUCGGAAGUGAAAUACCCGGGCUUAACCUGGGAACUGCUUUGGAAACUGUAUGGCUGGAGUGCUGGAGAGGUAAGCGGAAUUCCUAGUGUAGCGGUGAAAUGCGUAGAUAUUAGGAGGAACACCAGUGGCGAAGGCGGCUUACUGGACUGUAACUGACGUUGAGGCUCGAAAGCGUGGGGAGCAAACAGGAUUAGAUACCCUGGUA